ACAGCAAAUUUCAGAGCCUCACAAUCACACCCUCUUUAUCUGAAAUUCUCUUAAAACAAAAAGCCAAUGCCUUUAUUAUAUUCGUCUCCAAUUCUUUUUUAUCCGCCAUCACCAACUGCUCCAACGACCAUGCGCCACUUCCCUCCUCAACGCCUCACCACGUGUCCUUCAUCCUCUCUACGGCGCCGUUUCGCCUCCGAACCAAACCCCCUUCCACUCCACUCCGCCGAGGUUUUCAGAAACCCGAAUUGGCAAUGCAAUGCAAGCCGUCCUCCUCCGCAUCAAUGUCGGCCGAGGAGCAGUCCGCUUCGACCUCCCAGUGGGGUGAUCAACUGCAUGGUGGUUUGUUGUAUUCAAGGGCGGUCUGUGUUAGUGAAUCGAUUAUUGCCUGGAAUGUGGAUGUUUGAAAUGGUCCUGCUACUUAUUUGCUAGUAAAGCCGCUGCUUUAUCUUGUUCGAGUGAUGGAAUUAUAGGUGAGGAUAUAUAAGUAAAGCUUGAAGAAGGUAAACACGGGCUUCCGGAAAAUGUAAGAUGUUAUGUUAUCUGUAGAAGCAGUUUCAUGGAGCCUCUUAUUGCUGCUUUUUCUUAAUGUGACUUCUGAAGAAGCUUUGAAACUUCUUCGAACUGGCACAUGUAUAAAAUGAUUUUUGUUAGGUGAAAGAAAAAUUUCCACAUAUCAAAGAUUACAGAGCUUUUAAUGUGUCCCCUGAUUUGGACGCCAAAAUUGUAAGAAUGGUUUUGCAUUUGUUCUUUGCUAUUCAGUUUUAUCAAUGCACUGCUAGAUAAACCGUUUUGUCUCCCUAGACUAAAUACAAUGAAUUCUGAUCAACUAACUUUUUGUUUUAAAAUUUCAAUCUGUAGCCUUACACAUUAGAGGAGUAUCGAGGUGUGCAUGCCAUUGAGAAUGCUGAAGUAGAUAAGAUCAUAAAACUCACCAAUUCUAACAAAUUAAGUUUUGAAGAUUCUUAGUUAUUGGUAAUUUAAUUGUUUUAUGGUAGUCGCCCGUUUGUGUUAAAAGUUAUUCGUGGACCAUUUAAAGUGAUUUAGCUAUAGUUGGCAUUGCUGUUUUACAUAAAUAUUAUCUACUAUCUUUCAGAUUGAAUAUGUAAUUAAACUCCCAUCAGAAUCCUGACUAAUUAUUUCCAGUGUCCUUUAAACAUACAUCAGAUAUUGUUUCGAUUUACGUUUAAAUUUUCUCUGAUCUUGGAUCAAUAUUUUUAUUUUCUUUGUUUUGGUGCUACUGCUACAUAAGCUUGGUAUUUCUUGAACACACAAUUUCUUUUUAUGACAGAACAUAGUCAUCACAGUGAGUGUGUUUUGUGAAAUCCUUGACCAGGUUGAGUGCCAGCUGUAAGGUGGGCUUAACAAGUCUGAGUAUCAGCAGUUUAUGAACUUUAGUCAAUCUGGAGUCUAAUUUUUAGAUGCUUACAUUUCGUUGAGGAUGUUAUUGCAUUGUUCAUGUUGAUGCUUUAAAGGUCAAAUGACGAUAAUUAACAUAGCAAAACGAUACGAUUGACAACUACAUUUGUUUUCAAGAUCAAUUAUGUUUCUGCGCAUGACAACAAAACUCUGUUUGACAUCGUGACUCUGAAGGUAUGUGUACUUCUGCAGUAUUUAUUGGACUUCAGACUGGUAACUUCUUGUCUAACUCAGUCCAUUCCUUGUAGACUCCUAUGGAAAUUUCUUUAGAGGAGAGAUUCAGGAUAAAUCACUUAGCUACAAGUAUAAUAGCACUCGGACAGGUCUUAACUUGUAUUUAAUGUUGAUGAAUGAAAAAUUCAUGUAUUUUUCUCUGUUCUUUGGAUAAUGUUUAUUUUACACUGUUGCAUUGACCAUACAUUAUCAAGUGUUUGUAGUAUACUAUAAACUAUAAAGUGACAAUUAUGAAAUGGCAGGCUGCUAGGAUUACUUUUAAUGUUUAUGAAUUCAUUUUUCUGUAGUUCAUUUCUGGGAUAUUGUAUGACCAAUCAGUAUUUAAAUGAUUCCCUAACUUUAGGGAAUACCAAUUUUCCACGCCUGCGAUAAGCUGCUUCGGUCAAAAUCACUUGAUCGUUACUCAUAGAGUUCUGGUGAUUGGUUCAAUAGGUCAAUUGCUAAUCUCAUUCCCAAGUUAGAGUCUUAGUUAUAGUUGUUACAUAAGAUUUCAAGAUUUUAGCUGAUCGCAUAUCGAACUGCUAGAAUAAAUGUAUGAUCUUCUGCAUUGUAAUGCUACUUCCGAGUUACAAGUUGAAUGCUUUCUGUGUUCCAAGAAUAAAUCCCACUCCUAUAGUCCUAUGUCAUCUUUUCUGAUUGAGUAAUCCAUGCCUGCUAUAACAUGUCUGUCUCUUUCUCAAAUAUAAUGUUUGGGGUGUUGGCCUUCCUCCAAAAGAGAAGAACGAGCACAGCUGGCUGCUGUAAGCACUCGUGUAUUUACACAAUCAUUUGAUCGUGUGUACUUCUUAGUGAUGUUGACAGGUGAUGCAGAAACCUCUGAUAAUGGUGUAUCUGGCAUCAGAAACUUUAUAACGACUGCUAUGACAUGUCAAGUGAUUAUAUUUUGGUUCUGUUUCUUUUUGUUUUUUUCUUUUUUUUUUCAGAAUGAAACCAAGGUUAGCAGAUCCAUCCUUUUAAGCCUCAGAAGUCGCAUCAUACUCGCUGCUGUGGAUAACUUUUCAAUUUGUUAGGUAUUACUACUAGGUACUCUUCACCACUUUUCCGUUUGAGGACGGCAAAUGUUAUUCAGGAACAGGUACGUUUCUAUAAUACUGGUCCUUCAUUUCUCCUUGGAGUCAUAGUAGUAUGCAUUGAAGAUGGUCAUGAAGGCGUGCCAGGGCUAUCUCAGCUGGAUGCAAUGUCGGUAGAAUAGCACCAGAGAUUUUCUGCAUAACAUCUCAAGCCUAAAAAAAGAUUCUGAAUGAUGAGAUCAUACCUCCUGAUUUAGUUGUUUAUUUUUAUGAGCUCAUAUCACUAGAAUUUGCUUUAAAGAAGGCCUCCUUGAUUUGUUUUCUUAUAGCUCUUUAAUAUGAACUUGUUGCAGGUAACGUCAACAGAUGAAAUUGUUAAGAGAUCUGCGUAUGAUGCUUCCUCAGGAUGCUUCACUGCGCCCCCAAGAACUACAUCUGUGUUUGUUAAACCUCGGGAAGUUUGAGUAGCUCUGCCGUAGACGUGGUGUUCGAAGGAUUUCAUAAGAGUCAAGUACCAUGGUUGACCAAAGCACCGUUUUUUUUUUCUUUCCUGCAGUUGAGGAGGGAGAGAGGCAAAACCUAACGGGUUUUCGAUGCACUCAUAUGUAUUACUAUGUUCAAUAAAAGUAAAGUUAAAUAAAAUUUUCCUGCUUUUUAA